rnacentral:rRNA from 1 species
UACAGAGGGGGCGAGCGUUAUUCGGAAUUAUUGGGCGUAAAGGGCGCGUAGGCGGCUGCGCAAGUCUCGGGUGAAAUCCCUCGGCUCAACCGAGGAACUGCCCUGGAAACUGCGCGGCUCGAGGCCGGGAGAGGAUGGUGGAAUUCCCAGUGUAGCGGUGAAAUGCGUAGAUAUUGGGAGGAACACCGGUGGCGAAGGCGGGUCUCUGGGCCGAUACUGACGCUGAGGAGCGAAAGCGUGGGGAGCAAACAGG